rnacentral:lncRNA from 1 species
UAUAACAUUUUAAACUUAAAUGGAAGAAGAGUAAUGAAUUUGGUUUAUUUAAAAAAAAAAGAGCUAUAUUUCUUUUAGAAAUAUGUGAAGCCCCAUUUUGCCCACUUUGUAACUAUUUGCUUAAAAGAAGUUUGUUUAUGGACACGUACUUUGAGAAUAACCAUGUCCUAAUUUUUUUCUUCAUCAUCAUAAACAUUUAGCCUGGAUUUAGUUUUGCUUCCCAAUAACUAUUAGUUUUUAUAGCAGUGUAAGUGCAAUGCUAUAUCAGAUGUAAAAAAAAAUUAUAAAAACUUUAAAGACAAAUGAACAUACUACAAAAAUAGUGAGAUAAGUCCUUGAGUUCAGAAAGAAACACAAAUCCAGUUUAGGAAGUCUCCUUUCUUAAGUACUUAAAAUAUUUCUCCUCCAGAAACUGUAUUUGUCCCAGUGAUGUAAAUUUUCCAUCAUGGUUGACACAGUAUCUGUAAACACCUCACUAAAUGCAAAAUGGAGUUUACAUUUACGUGCAUACCAGUGGGAAGAGAAGUAAACUAUUAUCAUUUGCAUUUAGGUAUGUUGUUUAAAUGUCCCCAAAUGAAAGUCGAGAAAGAAUUUGUUUUCACUCAGCAAUGUACAUCACUUGGCAAGGAAGCUAGUGUUAACAUUAGGUUUAGGUUUAACAUUUACAGCCGUGGAAUGUUUAUGGAUAUUGUGGAAAACUUAUUUAAAAAUCUUGAUUUCUUUUCAGCACAUUUACAUAUUCUGUGCUGAUUAAUAAAUUAGACACCAAUCAUGUGUAAAUCAAUGUAAAUGCCUAGUUUAUGUACAUAAUAAAAACUAUGUAAACUUCAUUUUUCAUGCAGGGCCCAAGUUCAGCUAAACCUGUAAAUCUUAAAGAAAAAAAUUCAAAUAAAAAUAAAGAACCAAAGUAUUGCACAGGUCAAAAUGGAAAGAAGUAGGACUAAAGGCUGUGUAAGGUUGCCUCAGCCAAAGGAAGCAGUCCCUCAGCUAUACUUUCAGUUUCACAACCUGCUCAAGUCACAAGUGCACUUUGAUCCUUCAGGACUUGAGUGGAAAUUCUCCCAAAUUUUGCCUGUCCCAAAACAAGGGGAAUAAAGAGAUAGAGAGGAAUAGUUUGAAGGCUCUGUACCUGUUGUAUCAGCUACCAGGUGUCUUGUUAUUUCUUCCUCACCAUCUAAGACAUCUCAUUUAAAUAGCUGGAAGGAAGUUACCUACACCCUGAUGAGGAAAACAUUACUCGGCUUUUGUUUUCCACUCAACAAAAGCAUUGGGAAAGCUUGUCAUCUUCAUUCUAAUAAAUUGUGGGAUAUAAGAAAUAUGUUAUAUCCUUGAGAAUUAUCUUGCUGUGUUACCUUAGAAAACAAUUUAAAGUAAAAGCAAAGAAAGUAGUUUUUACUUGAUUUGUGUUUAUACCGAAUUUUACAAAUCAAGGACAGAAUCAUUUCAAUUGGAAGAACCUUGAGCAUGAUGUCUUAGAGUCUUUUUGAAGUGCCUGUUGUGUUUAACACAUAUAUCAAAUGUCACCAACUGAAACUCAAGAAAGAAUUUGUUUUCAUUCCAGCAAUCUAUAUCUCUGUAUCUCUGUAUCUCUUUUCUUUCAGCAAGGAAGAUGUAUUUAUUUCCCUAUUAUCUGAACAACUGGUACAGAGUCAUCAAAGACAUGACUUUCAAGGAUGGAUGUUUUACAAAGACUGUUCUAGAAAGAAAUUCAGGUCACAUUAACAUGAGACUUAAAAUUGUGCUCCUUCAUCUAAGAUAAAGACACUUUAAAGUGAAGUGGAAGUUGUAUUUGACUGGAAGUCAUGAAAACUUGAUUGUAAUCCUUCCCCUGGACACAACAUCUAUAUGACAUUGGCAAACCACUUAAACUUCCUGAUUCUUGGUUUCCUCAUCCUGAAAGUGAGGAAUUUGGAUGACAUUUUUUUAACCUCUUUCACGUCUUAACUCUCUGAUUCUAAAUAAGAAGUGAAUGUUCACUUAGUACUGUGCCUGCCUCAUUAUCGAAAGCAGCUCUUUGUCAUCUCUAGUUUGUUUUCAGAAUCAUCAUUCUAUCAUCUCUAUUUCAAAAGCUGAAACUUCCUAGAAUACAGGGCCUUUGGACUGAUUCUAUAAUUCUCUUCUACAAAAACUUACUAGCAAUGCAGAAAAAGGGGCACCCUGAGAUUAUACUGAGGUUAUUGAAAUAGCUGGGGUUAUUUUUUGUUCAUAAUAUUAUAAAAUCUAACUCUUGAACUAACUCCGAAUAACCUUUCAUAGGAAGGAAAAUAGCCAGAUUGGGCAUUAAGCUUGUAAAAAAUGAGGAAGUUGUGCAUAUGAAAGGAAACAGUUUUUUCUCAUCCAGGGCUGACUGCCUCAUUCUAGUAAAUGUGUGUCCUUGGCUUGAGCUAAUGGCUAUAUCAUGUGGUCCCAGGCAAGUUCAAAUGGGUAAUCUGUGAGAAACAGGCAAGACAAUAUAUUUUGUUUGAGAGAGAUAUAUUUCCUUGACUUAUAGGGUAUGAAAUCAAGCAAAUAAAUGUACAAUAAAACAGGCUUCAAUUUUUUUCAAGAGUCUAACUCUAUAAUAUUUGAAUAAGUGGAAAAUAUGACAAAUAUACAUUUUAGGUGAUGACAGUUGCACACUAAGAAUUAUUGUGAAAGCCAAAAUGAAAUGUGAAAGUUAAGUUCUCUGAGAAGAGUUUUAAGCAAGAAAGAUGAUUUCUGAAGUAGUUAAUGAGGAAUUAUUUUCUUCUGCCUUGCUCUGGAUGGACUGAGGACAAGUCCACUCUCUUAGAGGCUCAUCUUAGCGUUUGUCCAAUUUCCUUUAUUGCCUCAAAGGACAGAAGGAAUGUGAGAGUCCCAGACACUGAAGAGCAGAGUAUUUAUAAUUUCCCAGCUUUAGCAUUACUCUGUGUAAUAAGGGUAAACAAAGGGCUCAGAGUACUUAUGAAGCCCUUUUUGAGUGAGUGAGGACCUGUCUACUGAAAAACUCACACUUCCAUGUUGUUUCAGAGGUACUUGUUUUAGGCGGUGCUCCCGAAUCUACUCCUACAGCUACUUCUCUGCAAAAGCCUUCUCUCUGUAAAACCAGUCACAGUAAAUACCUGCUUCUUCGCAAAUGAAGAAAACACAAGGAACUACUAGCUUCAUGGCACGCAGCAGCAAUCCUAAGCUACCAAGGAGCCUUUUCUAAACCCACUUUGCUAAGUCUUUGCUCUUCACCAGGAAAUGUAAAAGACUUGUCCUGGUGAAUCGUGGGCAGGUUCUGCUCUCUAAGUAUUUACCGGGAGGGGGAGGCUCGAGGGAGGACGUGACUGGGGAGGGAAGCAGGGGAGAACAGCUCCUACCUCUUACCCACCACCGCUUUGCCCACCUUCUCACUGCUCAACAGAAGGUGUACAAAUCCUGCUCCUGGUUAGAAUUCUCCGUAUUAACAGUGUUAUAUACGUAUAAAUAUAUAUAUAAAUACACUCCUUUUUUUAGCCCUGUAGACAUGAACUGAUCUUCCCUUGAUGAUAUAAAUUCAUGGCCAUUAUUUGGGUUGGUUUUUCUGUUGCACAACGUAUUUUGUUUUUCUUUAUUGGGUGGAUUUUUUUGCCCCCUGGGUCCUAGCUCUGUGAAGGAAAAUAAAAAGCGCAGUGUGUGUACAAAGAAAAAUAAAAUUAAGAAAAGCUUAUUUUCUUUUCCCUUUAAAUGUAUUUAAAUUCUGUUUCUCUCUUCUGUUAUUUUACACGUAUGAAUGCUCUGCUCUUCUGUGAUCUUAAAACAAAAUGAAAUAAAUGUGAAA